rnacentral:rRNA from 1 species
UGGGGAAUCUUGCACAAUGGGGGAAACCCUGAUGCAGCGACGCCGCGUGAACGAUGAAGCCCUUCGGGGUGUAAAGUUCUUUCGACAGGAACGAUAAUGACGGUACCCGAGGAGGAAGCCACGGCUAACUACGUGCCAGCAGCCGCGGUAAUACGUAGGUGGCAAGCGUUGUCCGGAAUUAUUGGGCGUAAAGGAUGCGCAGGUGGUCCUUUAAGUGGGAUGUGAAAUCCCUGGGCUUAACCCAGGAAUUGCAUUCCAAACUGGAGGACUAGAGUGCAGGAGAGNAAAGUGGAAUUCCCAGUGUAGCGGUGAAAUGCGUAGAGAUUGGGAGGAACACCAGUGGCGAAGGCGGCUUUCUGGACUGUAACUGACACUGAGGCAUGAAAGCGUGGGGAGCAAACA